GAGAGAGUUCAAGAGUACGUGAAACCGUUCAGGGGUAAACCUGAGAAACCCAAAAGAUCGAAUGGGGAGAUUCAUCGUCAGCGGCUCUGGCUUCCGUGCGGCUCGCGAUGGCAGGGACCUCGGUCUCGCGUCACGCGUCCGCUGCGGUAUGUCCUGGUGCCGUCGGCGUGCACUUCUCCCCUAGUAGGACGUCGCGACCCGUUGGGUGUCGGCCUACGGCCCGGUCGGUCGACUGUCGCGUCGCGUUCACCCGCGCACGCGGCAGACCACCGGUCGCCCGGCCGACUGCCCGGCGGUAUAGAUCGCUAUUAAACACGGUAUUGGGCCGCAUCAAGUGCGUUCUGGCUCGCCGGCAGGCUCGUCUCGCUCGGAUUUACGGACCUAGCGCCGUUGCCGGGCGCUUGGCGUGGCCGUUAGUCGACGAUGUCCUCGGACUGGCUCUUGCAUUCGAACGAAUAUACCGGUCG
rnacentral:rRNA from 1 species